rnacentral:rRNA from 1 species
CAGCAGCCACGGGAAUACGUAGGUGGCAAGCGUUGUCCGGAAUUAUUGGGCGUAAAGGGCUCGCAGGCGGUUUCUUAAGUCUGAUGUGAAAGCCCCCGGCUCAACCGGGGAGGGUCAUGGAAACUGGGAAACUUGAGUGCAGAAGAGGAGAGUGGAAUUCCACGUGUAGCGGUGAAAUGCGUAGAGAUGUGGAGGAACACCAGUGGCGAAGGCGACUCUCUGGUCUGUAACUGACGCUGAGGAGCGAAAGCGUGGGGAGCGAACAGGAUUAGAUACCCGCGUAGUCCCUGUCUCUUAUACA